CCCACGGGUNGAUGCGUUACUACGGCGAGUGAAGCGGCAAAAGCUCAAAUUUGAAAUCUGGCACCUUCGGUGUCCGAGUUGUAAUUUGAAGAAGGUAACUUUGGAGUUGGCUCUUGUCUAUGUUCCUUGGAACAGGACGUCACAGAGGGUGAGAAUCCCGUGCGAUGAGAUGCCCAAUUCUAUGUAAAGUGCUUUCGAAGAGUCGAGUUGUUUGGGAAUGCAGCUCUAAGUGGGUGGUAAAUUCCAUCUAAAGCUAAAUAUUGGCGAGAGACCGAUAGCGAACAAGUACAGUGAUGGAAAGAUGAAAAGAACUUUGAAAAGAGAGUGAAAAAGUACGUGAAAUUGUUGAAAGGGAAGGGCUUGAGAUCAGACUUGGUAUUUUGCGAUCCUUUCCUUCUUGGUUGGGUUCCUCGCAGCUUACUGGGCCAGCAUCGGUUUGGAUGGUAGGAUAAUGACUAAGGAAUGUGGCUCUACUUCAGUGGAGUGUUAUAGCCUUGGUUGAUAUUGCCUGUCUAGACCGAGGACCGCGUCUUUUGACUAGGAUGUUGGCAUAAUGAUCUUACGCCACCCGUCGUGAAAGACAGACAAAAA
rnacentral:rRNA from 1 species